rnacentral:rRNA from 1 species
GAUGAACGCUGGCGGCGUGCCUAAUACAUGCAAGUCGAGCGAACAGAUGAGGAGCUUGCUCCUCUGACGUUAGCGGCGGACGGGUGAGUAACACGUGGAUAACCUACCUAUAAGACUGGGAUAACUUCGGGAAACCGGAGCUAAUACCGGAUAAUAUAUUGAACCGCAUGGUUCAAUAGUGAAAGACGGUUUUGCUGUCACUUAUAGAUGGAUCCGCGCCGCAUUAGCUAGUUGGUAAGGUAACGGCUUACCAAGGCAACGAUGCGUAGCCGAACUGAGAGGGGGGUCGGCCACACUGGAACUUAGACCGGGUCCAGGCGCCUAAGGGAGGCCGCAGGAGGGAAUCUUACGCAAGGGGGGGAAGCCUGACGGAGCAACGCCGAGUGAGUGAUGAAGGUCUUCGGAUCGUAAAACUCUGUUAUUAGGGAAGAACAAAUGUGUAAGUAACUAUGCACGUCUUGACGGUACCUAAUCAGAAAGCCACGGCUAACUACGUG